rnacentral:snRNA from 1 species
GGAUGUGAGGGUGAUCUAUCUGGCUGUGACAUCUGUCACCCCAUUGAUCACGAGGGUUGAUUCAGUGGAUCUGACCGGCUAAGCAGGUGUCCCCUCCCUCCCUCACUGCUCCAUGUGUGUCCCUCCCAAAUCUGGGCACUAAAUGGGAGAGGAUGACCUUCCCCAAUAGAAGAGGACCAUUCUUAGGUCAACGGCAUACGUGUAGCUGCGCUUCCCUGCUAGAACCUCCAAGCAAGCUCUCGAAUCAUUAGUAAAGACUGUGGUGCCAGCGAAAAGGGUAGCAGGGCUUCCGUUU